AUUCCAUGAUGCGGGCAUUUCCUUAACAUCUCUUUAUACGUUUCCCAAGUCUCAUACAAUGAUUUAGACUCAAAUUGAUGAAAAGAAGAGAUAUCGCUUUUGAGCUU